UACGAAGGGGGCUAGCGUUGUUCGGAUUAACUGGGCGUAAAGCGCGCGUAGGCGGGUUUUUAAGUCAGGGGUGAAAUCCCAAGGCUCAACCUUGGAACUGCCUUUGAUACUGGAAAUCUUGAGUCCGGGAGAGGUGAGUGGAACUGCGAGUGUAGAGGUGAAAUUCGUAGAUAUUCGCAAGAACACCAGUGGCGAAGGCGGCUCACUGGCCCGGUACUGACGCUGAGGUGCGAAAGCGUGGGGAGCAAACAGGG
rnacentral:rRNA from 1 species